rnacentral:lncRNA from 1 species
AGCAGGCUGGCUUGAGUGAGAUCAGAGCGUGGGCCAAUGCCAGUGCUCCUUUUGUCUGAUUCAUCAGGGUGUGUUUGUAUUUAUGUGGACACUUACAUGACUGCAUCAUCCCUUGGUGGCUGCAAGGAAAUUUGAGCCCCAGGCACCUUAUCCAGAGUCCUUCCUGGGCUGGGCUAUAGAGGAAUGGUUGUACCCACAGCAGAAGGAAAGCAAAGGGUCCAAACAGCAGCUCUGCAAAGCCUUGUGUAUGGGAAGUAGGCAGAAACAAACCUGGAGGUCCCUGCUCUGGUAAGUGUCUUUUGUUCUUCAAGAGGACAUUACAGAUCUCUUUUAUUCAUAC